UUGAACGCUGGCGGCAGGCCUAACACAUGCAAGUCGAGCGGCAGCGCGGGGCAACCUGGCGGCGAGCGGCGGACGGGUGAGUAACGCGUAGGAAUCUACCCAGUAGCGAGGGAUAGCCCGGGGAAACUCGGAUUAAUACCGCAUACGCCCUAAGGGGGAAAGCAGGGGAUCGUAAGACCUUGCACUAUUGGAAGAGCCUGCGUUGGAUUAGCUAGUUGGUAGGGUAAAGGCCUACCAAGGCGACGAUCCAUAACUGGUCUGAGAGGAUGAUCAGUCACACCGGAACUGAGACACAGUCCGGACUCCUACGGGAGGCAGCAGUGGGGAAUAUUGGACAAUGGGGGCAACCCUGAUCCAGCCAUGCCGCGUGUGUGAAGAAGGCCUUCGGGUUGUAAAGCACUUUAAGUGGGGAGAAAGGUUCGGCAGCUAAUACCUGCCGGAAGUGAUGUUACCCACAGAAUAAGCACCGGCUAACUCUGUGCCAGCCGCCGCCGUAA
rnacentral:rRNA from 1 species